UGUCCAUGGACAGGGGUUUUCAUAAGGGCAGUGGGGGACCCACUCUGGGCUGAAUAACAAGCAGAGGGGUUGAUGUGGGGUUACAGCACCGGAGGUGACAGAGCAGUAAGGCGACGAGACCGCAGUGAGUAAGAUAUCCCACCUUCUGUUUCCCUUCAUGGCCUUGUUACUCCACUGAGUCAUCUAUGUAUAUGGAUAUAUAGGUUAGAGUGCGUCUAUGGUGGGCGGUGCUGUUGUAAUGAUGUUUGGUAACGUGUUCCACUUAGUUUUUUUUUUUUUCCCCAAGCAUGAUGUUUAUAUAAUAAACAUACUCGUUAAUCGUCGCCACGGUUUCUCUUAAAACUCUUUAAACGUCUUUUAUCAGUGGAAACCUGUAAUAAAUUAGGCAUGGUCGUGACUGGAUUAUGUAGUGCGCAGUUUAUUUAUUUAUAUUUUUAUCAGCAUAAAGCCGAAAUCAGCGGAGUAUUUGCAGUCAGAGGCUUCCUUAAAAAAUAAAGCUGCUAAAGAUAAGAACUGCGUGCGGAUCAAUUUCCUGGAGGCAGUCGGGAGUUGGGUGGGAUGAAGAGGUACGCUGGAUGCCUGCUGCUGCGGGAGGAUGUUGCGCACUUCAAUUUACCUCGAGAGUGAGCAUCCAUGUGGAUCUGCGUAAGCACUGUAAACAGAUAUAUUUGUUUUCAUCUCUUGCUAAUGUUGAAUUUGACCCGUAUUUUCAAUGUUAAACUGUUGUUAACUUGAAUGGAACUUGAAACUGAAGUUACCGAAGGAAAAAAUGGAAAAAAACGAGUUUUUUGUACUUUUAGGGAAUAAUGUUUGUUUUGUUUUUUUCAUCAGAUUCCAUUAUGAUAUUCCCUCCCUCUCCAUUCCUUUCCACUGUCAGCAUAAACAUGCAUACAAAUAUAGAUAUAUAGGUAUUGUGUGUGUGUGUGUGAGAGAGAGAGAGAGUAAAAAAUAAAAGUAAUUGAGAGAUUAAAGUUGUUGUUGUAUCUUGAUGUUGCGCCUUGACUCAGCUCCAUCCAUCCACACGUUUCAUACGCACUUCUUUUUCCCUUCCGAUGUAAACAAACCACCAAUGAGUAAUACUGCUCUUUAACACGAGAUGGCGUAUUCCUGCAGGUUUGGACAGGAGCAGCAAAGUUAUACAAAAACUGGCUUCAUGAAAUGAGUCAGUUAUCAUAUAGGGAUGAUGCAGUGCUACAAAGUUAAGAGGCAACAGUAUAACAACAGCAUAUGUGUCUUGCUGAGAAGGUUUCUACAUUAAAUGAAAGAUGAGAACACACUGGAGAAAUAGCAGCAGUGGAGCAAAGCUGAAGGAGUUUCAGUUUUCAUAUGCAGGGUGUGGCAGUAAAAAAACAGAUGAAUAGUUAAAAAACUACUCGUAUUUAUACAUUUAUUAAUAUAUAUUUAAGUAUUUGUAUAUAUAUUAAACAGUUAAUUAUAUGCAUAUUAAAAUAUAGUAUUAAUAAAAAUAUAUAUGCUUUUAUUUAUUAAAUAAUACAAUAUUUUGAAAUAUAGUUAUGAACUGUGCGUCAUUAUUUGUUUCAUAUUCUAUCAGUACAAGUUUGUUUUUUGUUUAGCUCCGAAAUAUUAAUUUAGCAUGGUAAAUCAUGAUAUAAUAAUGUGUGGGAUCCUUCACCUCCCAUAUGAUGCUGGACCAACACCUAUGAGCCAAACAAGGUAAUGACAAAAAACAUAUUAGCCACAUUUUCUCCCCAACAUUAAAGUGUUGUAUGUGGUCACUUUUAGGAAUCAUGCUUAUUGUUCCUUUUAUAGCCAAAUACAAUGUCAAUAGAGCUGACUGGGCACCUUUCCAGUGGAGGGAUUAGGGUUUAGGAAGUGGAACAAGAACAGCUGAUAGAUGACAUGGCUAAAAUUAACGCACUGUUCGCUGGAUGAAAAGCAAAAUAGCAGACAGGAAGAGCUGACAUGUUUAUGCAUCAGGAAAGCUGUUAGCUUGUGUGGGUGUGUGUGUCAGCAUAAACAUAGGACAAUUGGUUCUUCUUGGUUUGAAGUCAUAAAAAACUUCAAAGUUAUCGACAAUGCUUGUAAGAUGAAGCCUUGUGGAGCUAAAAGCUAAAAUAUCAGGAGCUAAAAGAGAAGUUAAAUUAUUAUGUAGAAAAUGCUUUCAAAACAGAGUUGUCUUCCUUUCAGCUCACAACAGAUCCAAUUUAUGGAUGAAACAUGGUCCGCUUUUGAAGAAUUUAAACUUUAUUGUUUUUUAAUAAUGUCAUGUAUAAUUCUAUGAUACAAUGAGUUUAUUUACCCAUUGUAUUUUAGGACAAAGCCUAUGUUUCAGCUUAGUACAUAAAAAUGACUUUGUGCUUGAGAAAUGCAGACAGGCCCAAAAGGCACAGCCUUGUUGCUGGGAGUUCAUGAAAGAGUUUGAAUGAAUAUUGUUGCUCCUGUUUAAAAAGCAGGCUGAUUGCAAACAAAUAGCUGGAACAGAUUUCCCCCUUGAAAGUAAAAAGUGAUACUAAAGUUAUUCCAUGUGGCUGUUUUUAACUUUGAGUCUAAUUUCUUACUUUUUUUCACUUCUUCAGCACCACUGACCCAUUUACGUUGGGAGCAAAAAACAAAUCAUCUAAUCAAGAGCCAUUGCGAUCUGGCGAAACCCUUCCCGAGACACAUUUGUUCCUGCGUAGUUAGGAGAGACAGAGACGGUGACGCAGUCGCUUCUGGGCUGGACUUCUCUGCAACCAGCUUGUACCUCUCCCCUUCCCUUUCAGUUUGUUUAUCUGUCCGCCCAUCUGUCUGUCUCUGUAUCUCCUGUAGAAAAGGGGGACAAGGAGGGCUAAAUGUCAUGUCACCGGAUCAGAAACAGAAAGAGAAGAGAAAGAGAGAGGGAGAGAGGAAAGGGGAUAGGUGGAGAGGAAACACAGAGAGAUGCUGAGAUGGACAAGAGAAAGAAGUUGUAAACCUUGUUCUUUUUUGUCACUGGGUUUUUUUCUUCUCUCCAGUACACAUGUGCUGGACUGCAUUUCCAAAAGCUGCUGCAUCACAGGCCUUCGUGCCAAGGCUGCACUCUCAUUGGCCGGGAGGAGCUUCCCAGGCUGCACAAGCUGCACAGCAGCAUUUUGUUGGCUUAAAAGAAGAGGCAGCGGAUGUUCAACCUCUGAUUGGCUGGGAGGCUUUGUUUUCACAUAUUAAGGUUAAGCACUAACAACAGCACUUUUCUGUGACUAGAUGAUGUGUGUUUCCAUUGCUAGUCUUAUUUAUUAAAAGUUACAUUUUUGUGAGUUUCAUUGUUGAAAUUGAUUUUUUGGAUGCAGAAAACCAAUACAAUGAAAAUGUCUCCUGCUAAAAUUACAGACUCAUAAGACAUUUCAAGGCUUUCAGAACAUUACCUGGAGGUUUCAAAUAUUUCUAUAUUCCCUUUUACAUCAGCUGAGUCCAGGAACCUUUCCAUGAAUUCUAAGUGGCAUAUUAGUUUCUUUCUAGGAAACUAAAGCGCGUGUUGAAUUCUGGUCUUCCCUAGACUGUCAGUAACAGUAAUCUGCCGGAUGUUUGUAGCAGAAUGUUCCCUGUUGAUGGUAGAAAUAAAAUAAAAAAACUCCUAGCAAGAGAGGUUUCUUUGUUUUGUUUUUUUCUGGUUUGCACCAUUGUUUGCAG